rnacentral:rRNA from 1 species
GAGUUUGAUCCUGGCUCAGAUUGAACGCUGGCGGCAGGCCCAACACAUGCAGGUCGAACGGUAGCACAGGAGAGCUUGCUCUCUGGGUGACGAGUGGCGGACGGGUGAGUAAUGCAUGGGGAGCUGCCCAAUCGAGGGGGAUACCAGCUGGAAACGGUUGCUAAUACCGCAUACGCCCUGAGGGGGAAAGGUGGGGACCUUCGGGCCUACCGCGAUUGGAUGCACCCAUGUGGGAUUAGCUAGUUGGUGAGGUAACGGCUCACCAAGGCGACGAUCCCUAGCUGGUCUGAGAGGAUGACCAGCCACACUGGAACUGAGACACGGUCCAGACUCCUACGGGAGGCAGCAGUGGGGAAUAUUGCACAAUGGGGGAAACCCUGAUGCAGCCAUGCCGCGUGUGUGAAGAAGGCCUUCGGGUUGUAAAGCACUUUCGGUAGGGAGGAAGGGUUGAUGUCUAAUACSCAUCAGCAUUGACGUUACCUACAGAAGAAGCACCGGCUAACUCCGUGCC